CCCACUGGCUUUCCAGGACUUCUUUAGGAUGAAAGCUGCAAGUGGAGUUUGAGGUCUGUCAUAUCCAUAGAAGCAGCUGGAGAUAUUGGGCAAAUGGGCCAGGAUUGUGGCCUCUCCAGACGGCGACAAAGCAAGACAGGAAUCUUCCUCUGCUCCAAAUCCCAGCCCCUCACAUCUCCUGGCCACAGUGGGAGCCAUGAUCUCUCUCCUUUACAUCUGGCUGUAUUCCCAGAGCUUUCAUUUCCAUAUGGCACAUUUUUAUGCUCAUUUUGGGUACCCAGUGCUCAGUAUGUUGUUGGACAAAGAUACCUCAAAGGAACUGGUGCAGUGAAGGAUGAAGAGAGGGCAAUGCAUUGGUUUAGGUGAGACCAUGGCGUCUGCCAAAAAGCAAAACUCCAGAGUCACCUGUUCAGAAA